rnacentral:lncRNA from 1 species
CUGCUUCCAUUUUAUUUUUCAUUCCUAUUUCAGUUCCAAUCUGUAGGGUUCUUAUCUUAGUGUACAAGCAUCUGCCCAGACCCUGUUGACUUCUGUUGGUUUAGAUUUGUAGGUUUCCAAAGUGUUUCCAGUGGAAAUGUAGAUGACUCUAAAAGGGAUUUUAAGUUUGCAAACAACAUGAGGUUUCCUAGCUACACAUCAUGGACCCGUCAGAGCAGGUACAAAAGCUGGUAGGUUGUGUAAACAUCUUACACAAACCAGUUACAUUAGGGUAGGAAGAAGGGAUUAAAUAAUUUUCUUGCAAGUGAAUUAAGUUCUUGGAGACUCCACAUUUCCCAAAGAGGAAAUUAAUUACCUUUGAAUAAAGAUGGGGGUGCUCACCAGCUUCACCUGCUGAAAUAAAUACCCUCACCUCAAUUUUUUAAGUUUCUGGAGUCUGAAGAUACUCUGCAUUCAGUCUGGUCUAAAACAAAACCUCUCUUGGAUAAAGAAAGAAAAUGAACGACAUGAUUUGCUAAAUCAGUAUGGCACAUUUGUUCAUGGUGGAUUUUGUCAAACUUCCCUAGAAUGGAUUUUGGAAAGGAGGGCCUGCAAGCAGACACUUUUAAGGAGGAAGACCAUCCAUCACAGCAGACUGUCAGUGAUCUGACAAGCAGGGUGCCAUCUUCCAGUAUAACUGAGAAGGUUGUAUCAUCUUCACACCCAGCUUGGGUUGACAAUAUGAGUCCAGCAAGAGCUUUCAUUUCAUUCAGAAGCCAGUGGUCUGAAGCAAGAGUAAUGUCUCGACAGAUAACCACAAACAAGGUUUUCAGCAUCCAAAGCAACUAUCUUAUUCAACCAACUCUGAUCUUUUUUUCUCAGAAGCUGAAUUCCAGUGUAAACCAGGCUGGAAUUCAUGAUGCAAGUGAUACCAUGGAAAUGUUCACUCCUCCUUUGCUCCCCACCUCAGAGAUGAGCCAUUGUGCUGCCACAUACAAAACCAUGGAGCAGGCUCCAGGGCAGCAGGACCAGCUGAUGAAGCAGAAGAUGGAGAAGCUGCAAAGGCUGGUGGCUGAACAGCAGAAAAUCAUCACACUUUACAACCCAGGCAAAUCCCACCAGCAAGUGGUAAUAGACAGAAGACUUCCGAAAAUUUUGUUGAAG